rnacentral:rRNA from 1 species
AAUGAACGUUGCCGGCGUGGAUUAGGCAUGCAAGUCGUGCGCGAAACGUAGCAAUACGUGGAGAGCGGCGAAAGGGAGAGUACAACACGGUUAGCUACCCUCGGGACUGGGAUAGCGGCGGGAAACUGCCGGUAAUACCAGAUGACGUCUUCGGACCAAACGUGUAAACCGGCCCGAGGAGGCGACCGUGUCCUAUCAGCUAGUUGGCGGUGUAAUGGACCACCAAGGCUAAGACGGGUAUGGGGCGUGAGAGCAUGCCCCCACUCACUGGGACUGAGACACUGCCCAGACACCUACGGGUGGCUGCAGUCGAGAAUCUUCGGCAAUGGGCGCAAGCCUGACCGAGCGACGCCGCGUGCGGGAUGAAGGCCUUCGGGUUGUAAACCGCUGUCGUAGGGGAAGAAGGUCUGGUGUAGAGCCAGGCUUGACCGAUCCUAGGAGGAAGGGCCGGCUAAUCUCGUGCCAGCAGCCGCAGUAAAAC